UAUAUUUAAUUAUUUUUUUCUGAAUAUUAAAAGUUAAGUUCUUUAAAACUCAAAGAAUUUGGCGGUUAUUUUAAACUUUUUAGAGGAAUUUGUAUAAUUAUUGAUAAUCCACGAUAUUUUCUACUUUAAUUUUUAUUUGUAUAUCUCUAUUGUUAUUUGAAUAUUUAUUUAUAAUUAUUUUCUUUUUUAAUUAUUUAUUUAAUUUUAGGUCAAGGUGCAGUUUUAUUAAUGUAUAUAUGAAUUAUUUAAAUUUUAAAUUUUAUUAAGUUUUUAUUUUUUAAAUUUUUAUGACUUAGAAUUUAAUAGUAAUUUUAAUUAAUUAAUUAUUUUGAAUUUAGUUCUAACUAAU
rnacentral:rRNA from 1 species